rnacentral:rRNA from 1 species
GAUUCCCCUAGUAACGGCGAGUGAAGCGGGAACAGCUCAAAUUUGUAAUCUGGCGGCCUUCGGUCGUCCGAGUUGUAAUCUGGAGAAGCGUUUUCAGUGCCGGCCCGCGUACAAGUCCCCUGGAACGGGGCGUCGCAGAGGGUGAGAAUCCCGUCUCUGACGCGGUCACGCCGGCACGUUGCGAUGCGCUCUCGAAGAGUCGAGUUGUUUGGGAAUGCAGCUCAAAACGGGUGGUAAAUUCCAUCUAAAGCUAAAUACUGGCGAAAGACCGAUAGCGAACAAGUACCGUGAGGGAAAGAUGAAAAGCACUUUGGAAAGAGAGUCAAACAGUACGUGAAAUUGUUGAAAGGGAAACGCUUGAAGUCAGUCGCGUCUCUCGGGACUCAGUCGCGCCGUCAAAGGCGCGGCGUACUUCCCGGGUCUGGACGGGCCAGCGUCGAUUUCGACCGUCGUACAAAGGCGCGGGGAACGUGGCACCUUCGGGUGUGUUAUAGCCCCGCGUCCCGUAUGCGACGGUGGGGAUCGAGGAUUGCAGCGCGCCCGCAAGGGUCGGGUUCGCCCACGUAACGCGCUU